rnacentral:tRNA from 1 species
CGGCCGUUAGCACAGCCUGGUAGUGCGUUCGCCUUGGGCGCGAAAGGUCGCAAGUUCGAGUCUUGCACGGCCGACCA